GUCUCAUCAUCUAAUAGUAUAUUUUUCUUAAAUAAAGGGGUGAAAAUAGUGGAAGAUUUAUAUAACCUGUUUUUUUGUAGUUUUUGGUCCUGGGAUAAUAUGGAUGCAAACUGCAGAGUUUAAUUAUAAAAUAUAAGAACUCCUGCAAUCUGUUAACAGGAAAAAAAGGAGAAGCGUGAGUUCAUUUUCGCGUUUUAGGUAGUAAAGUUCUUUCUCUCUUGCAGAUUUUUAACUUUGUCUCCUCAAAUGGAGAAGAAGGCUUCAAAUUUUAUACUUUUCAAAAGUUAUAGAUACUUAAUUACUUGAAAAAGAG